rnacentral:RNase_P_RNA from 1 species
CGAGUCCGCCAAGGCGAUCGCGGGCAUGGUUCCGGCAGGGUCAGCGACUCUGCUCGGCGAACAUGUUCGAGGAAAGUCCGAACUCCACAGGGCAGGGCGCCGGCUAACGGCCGGGUGCGGCAACGCAACGGAAAGUGCCACAGAAAAUACACAGCCGCCUCUUUCCCGAUUACGGGCGGGUCACAGACCCGCCUCGGCGGAAGUAGAGGCGGUAACGGUGAAAAGGUGCGGUAAGAGCGCACCGCGUUGAUGGCAACAUCAACGGCAGGGUAAACCCCGCCCGGAGCAAGACCAAAUAAGCCGCGAGUCUCUGCGGCCCGCAGAGCAUAAGACGCGGCGGGUAGGUUGCUUGAGGCGGCGAGUAAUCGCCGUCCCAGAUGGAUGAUCGCCACCCCGCAAGGGGCACAGAAUUCGGCUUACCGGCGGACUCAGCUU